GCUGGGCGUGGUGGCGCAUGCCUGUAAUCCCAGCUAUCAGGAGGCUGAGACGGGAGAAUCGCUUGAACCCAGGAGGCAGAGGAUGCAGUGAGCUGAGAUCACGCCACUGCACUCCAGCCUGAGUGACAACACGAGACUCCGUCUCAA
ensembl:misc_RNA Metazoa_SRP Metazoan signal recognition particle RNA